AGCUUAAGUGACGCUGCAUGCAGAGGGGAUCCGAGAGGUGAGAAGUUCUUAUUUUGGCCAUAUUAAAGUCAAUAUAAACACUUGUUGGAAAAUGACAUUCACCGCUUCAUCCUAUGGCAACUUUAAGAUGGAACCAUGCAGUCAGCCUAUCGUUCAGGGAAAUUCAGGAAAUUCUACCCAUCCCUGAGCCUCUAGAUGAAAGGCAGAGGAAGAUGGCGUUUUGUUUGAACUACAUCUGUUGAAGCAUCAGGAAAUUUUCUAUAGAAGUGGCACCUUCUUUCUACUGA